ensembl:miRNA gmo-mir-219-3 gmo-mir-219-3
UGUCCAAACGCAAUUCUUGUAUCUCUGAAACCAGGAGUUGUGCAUGGACAUCUAA